UGUGUGUGUCGAUGGUAUGCAUUUUUGUGCUGGGUGAACACUCUGAUCCCUAAACCGCGAUACCGGAGCUCCCAAGCUACAGCCUCACAUUGAUUUAUAGUUCAUCGUUGGGAAUGAGUUCGCUGCUCAUGAUGCUGUUGCGGAUGUUGCGGCCCUAGCUGAAAUUGUCGAAGCUCGCCCUGAUGCCAGUAUCCUGUAGCGCUCUGUCACUUUUGCAUCAGCAUGUUCGGCGAUGGAGUUUGCAGAACAUCAGCAAAAGCGGCUGGCCACCCUUCAACCGUUGGUCCAAGCAACGUGCUUCUCUAAAUCAGUUUCAGUGCGGGCAGCUGCCAGUGGGUUGGUGAUGAAGCACUUUGUCUUGUCCUACAAACGAAGUGGUGAGCCAGCCAUUUCCAGACUGAUGAAGGAGCAAGUCGGAGGUAAGAAGCGGGUGACAGUCUCAAGGAAGAUUAUAUUAGCGGUGGCUGAACACCUAGCGAAGAACCAGCAGCAACCCAACUGAAAUGACGACCUGGAUCCCAUCGUCAACCAAAGUGUACAUUUUUCGGUGUUGAUAUCAUCUUAGUCAAUACCUCGAACAGUCUGUAAAAUUUUAUGUCAUAUUUUCUGUCCUAACUGAUGUUAUGGACGAUUUCUCAUCAAUUUUGGGAUUUUGUGUUAUUUUGUGUCAUCAAGGAAAAUUGUGUUUUUGGCAAGACCUA